GAUGAACGCUGGCGGCGUGCCUAAUACAUGCAAGUCGAACGGAGGAGUUGCUUUCGGGUGACUUCUUAGUGGCGAACGGGUGAGUAACGCGUUGGUGACCUGCCCCGAAGAACGGGAUAGCAGUUCGAAAGGACUGAUAAUACCGUAUGAAGUCAUGAGGAUUAGAGGCCUCAUGAAAAAAGGGAGCAAUCCGCUUUGGGAGGGGCCUGCGUCCCAUCAGCUAGUUGGUAAGGUAAAGGCUUACCAAGGCGAUGACGGGUAGGGGACCUGAGAGGGUGGCCCCCCACACUGGAACUGAAACACGGUCCAGACACCUACGGGUGGCAGCAGUAGGGAAUAUUGCUUAAUGGGCGAAAGCCUGAAGCAGCAACGCCGCGUGUGUGAAGAAGGCCUUCGGGUUGUAAAACACUUUUUGAGGGGAUGAGGAAGGACAGUACCCUCAGAAUAAGCCUCGGCUAACUACGUGCCAGCAGCCGCGGUAAAACGUAGGAGGCGAGCGUUAUCCGGAUUUACUGGGCGUAAAGCGCGUGCAGGCGGCACGGCAAGUUGGAUGUGAAAGCUCCCGGCUUAACUGGGAGAGGUCGUUCAAAACUGCCGAGCUAGAGUGCGGGAGAGGGAGGUGGAAUUCCGGGUGUAGUGGUGAAAUGCGUAGAUAUCCGGAGGAACACCAGUGGCGAAAGCGGCCUCCUGGUCCGCAACUGACGCUCAGACGCGAAAGCUAGGGUAGCAAACG
rnacentral:rRNA from 1 species